rnacentral:antisense_RNA from 1 species
GUGCAGAGUAUCAUUGCAGCGCUUUUCCAGGGAGUAACGUGCCGCGCUGUUUCAGGGCUUUGUCUUUAUUCACAACACAUUCAUGUUCCUCAGCAUGGGGGGAGCUGCACUGUUGCCUGCCAGCCUGUCCUCCUUGACUGCCGAAUGAACCAAAGGAUAACUCUCCAUUCGUGAGAGAGAGUGAGCUACAGAGGAAGAAAGACCACGCAAAAGGGAGGGGGAGAGAGGGGGUGAAGAGGAUGUUCUGAGGCUCACUCCUACAUUAGGUCUCUGUGCAAAGGCAGAGGCUGUGGAAGCAGCAUCAAGCAAGACUUCGGGCAGUGAUUCUAACUAUUGCCCAUGAACACCGUGGCCAGGACGACUUUGACGAGGCAAAUUUAUUACUUACGCAUAGAACAUUAGCUGUGCUGAAACUGGGAGCGCAAACAGCCCCUUGUUUUCUAAUUUAGAGACUUGCAUCUUUUCGACUCUCAACAUUAUCAAGACACUCUGCUACUACAGAUUGAUUUCCACCAUCAACACCUUUACCUCUUCCCGCCUGAAAAUAAAAUAUGAAAUACAACAAGUAAAUCGCAACCUACCUUGCACAGUAUCUUCUGGAGAGGGAAAGAAGAAACCAUGUCUAGACAAGGUGCUGGAAAGACCCAGGGAAGACAUAGAUGGGAUCAACCAGUUGCUGGAAAACAAACUCAGGGCUCCCACUGAUUCUACAUUAUGGGAAAUCAUCUUUUGGGAACUUAUCUAAGAACUUCUUAUGAUGAAGUCUCACUCUGUCACCCAGGCUGGAGUGCAGUGGCGCCAU